CAGCAGCCGCGGUAAUACGUAGGUGGCAAGCGUUAUCCGGAAUUAUUGUGCGUAAAGCGCGCGUAGGCGGUUUUUUAAGUCUGAUGUGAAAGCCCACGGCUCAACCGUGGAGGGUCAUUGGAAACUGGAAAACUUGAGUGCAGAAGAGGAAAGUGGAAUUCCAUGUGUAGCGGUGAAAUGCGCAGAGAUAUGGAGGAACACCAGUGGCGAAGGCGACCUUCUGGUCUGUAACUGACGCUCAUGCACGAAAGCGUGGGGAGCAAACAGGAUUAGAUACCCGCGUAGUCCCUGUCUCUUAUAA
rnacentral:rRNA from 1 species